ACGGAUGAAAAUUUGGCUAAGUGUGGAACCCCCAUACCCAACUCCUCCUUUCCUCUGCCACCGACAGCAUCUCCCUCUCCUCCCAAUCCCCUUCGAGCCGCCUGCGUCUCCGGCCGGCUCCGGCGAGCUCUCGCGCUGCUGAGCUGCGGCCCGAGACCACCUCGUCCUCCUCUCUCGAUUCAAUGGCUUGGAACCCUCGAUCUGCAUCCCUCCACCACAAACCCUAGCCCAGACGCAUCAGAUGUGCCGCCCCCUGUCUGCCCGCCACCAGCUCAACCCGCCCCCGGCGACUUCCUCCUCCGCAGCUCGUACGCUGAUGCUCGUCUCGAUCCUCCCCAACAAGACCACGGCGGCCGUCUUGCUCACCAGCGGGAAAGGAGCAGGGGAGGUGAAGAAGAAAGGGGCCUCCUUUUCUGCCCCGAUUGGAUCGGCACGCGACUGGUUGCUUCCGGGGGCGCCAUGGCACGAGCAGCUGCGGCUGCUGCACCUCUGCUUCAAGGAGGAAUGAGUCCUUGGCCUGCUGGUGCUGCUGCAGCCGGCAGAUCUUCAGAUUGGUUCAGCUGGGUGGUUCAGGCGGCGCUAUCAUGGUUGCCAUGACAUGAGGAGUUGCGUCUGCUUCACCUCUGCAUCAAACAGGAAGGACGGCGAGACUGGUUGAUGAUGUUGCACCGGUGUCGCACAUCCACUGAUGUUGCCGAAGAGGAAGGCUGGUGUUCUGCUCGCUCGUGGACAAUCAGCCAUAUACUUAGUCUAGAAGUCUGCGUACCAAAAUUUUGCAGAAUUGGUCAUUAACAUAGGAAGAUGACAAGGUGCUCUGGCUAUGAUCUGCUGAAACUCUCGCUUCUAUGGUCAAAUACAUGGGUGACUACUCACACUUCAGUGGAACCUGAUGAAGUUAAGUCCUUUCAGGUUUAAUCUUAUGUUCGCAGAAUAUUAUUUCUUUCAUGUUUUUUUUGGUCUAUAGAAAAUUGGGAAUGUAUUAGUCCUGCUAUUUUAACGCAUGCUUAUAAAUAUUUGUAGGCUAUUGUUUAUGUUUCCCUUCGCAUUCUUUUGUUAUAUUAGUGUUGUUCCUCUACUAGAUGUGUGUAGCAGGGAAAUUUCAAUAAUUAUGCUGCUUGGGUGGUCCAAUUUUAAUAAUUGUGCAUUUGUGUUUUUCUUUUGAAAUGCAUGUGCUGCUGCCUAUAAGGAGAGGAAUCGAAAUUCAUGUACUGCCCUUGCUUUUUUUGAAAGAUGGAUUUAAACUGUUGCCUAUUACUUGUUGUCUGUCUUGCAAGUUUGAGGUACUUGUGUUGCUGUCAUCUUACUUUUACUUGUGCUACUUCUGUACAAACCUGGUUUCUUACACUAAGAAUGAAAACAUGUAACUGUUGCUACUUUAAAUUGUGGUUACUCUUAAUGCUUUGUCUUCUCUGAUCUGGUACUUGCCUUGUUGAUAAAAUGCCAUUUUGAUUGCGUUUUGGCCUGUAGAGGUAUAGGUUGUUGCCACAUCGUGUUGAUCUAAAGUUGAAACACACCCCUUACAAUAUAUGGGUAUAUAUAUAGGAAAAUGAGCUGAUACCCCUAGGAGUACGUACCCUGAUUAGGAUUCAUGUUUUAUAAAACAUGAGUACUAUAUAUACUCUGCUAAAUCUGCUUUGGAGCUGACAAUUCUUGUUUUGUUCUUGUUGGAGAAUAUUGAGGAGGACUAGGUGUCCAACAGGCUAGCUGGGAGCUUCAGCCAGAUGGGGGAAGCUCGAAGACAUCAAGCCUGGAAGUUGGAAGAUCUGCCAUAUAUUGUUGUAAUAAUUAGCUGUCCAGCCGUCCCAGGAUUAAUCCUUGAAACUUUGAUGUUGUGGCUAAUCGAUGGCCACUUUGGCUUGAUGUUUGUGCUUCAGUUUCUCUUUUUUUGUUGUGUUGUGCUCGGUUUGCAUGGUUAGAUAUUAGUUGUGCAGAUAAGUUAUUUGCUUUGUUUUGUGGAUGUCUAAAAACCAGUGGAGGCAUUGCCAAAAUUUUCCAGACUGUUGCUAAUAAUUAAGCCCUGGUUGGUAAAUUAAUUUAACCAUGUAGUAGACUGGAGUACUUUUUUUCAACUGGAAACAAUAAAGCAAAGAGAAAUCCUCUUGA